GCUGGUGUGGCGCAGUGGUAGCGCAAGGCCAGGGGGUUCAAAUCCCCUCACCAGCUCCA
rnacentral:tRNA from 1 species